rnacentral:lncRNA from 1 species
UUAAUGUGAGCUGAACCAGUAUUAAACAUUAGAAAGAGCUUAUACAAAACCAAAACACAUGGCAUGUUAAUUUAAAUACAUGCUAUAGUAUAGAUAAGCUUUAUUAAUUAUUGAUUGAUACACAAAUUAUAUAACAUAGUAACAGGCUGACUAUUGACUAAGCAGGAAUUUAUUUAAUUAAUACAAGCACACACAGGUGAUCAUAUGUUAAGAUAGUCUGCCUAGCAAAGUAGCAACAUAUUUCACAUGACAAACAAACAAGCUUACUAUGGCCUGAAUGUUUUCCAUUUGUGCAAUUCAAGACCAUUUGGCCUGUUCCUUCGUGGGUAGUACUGAUUGGUUUCAACAUCCACAUCCUCUUCAAUUUGGUACAUCACUUGAUCACCAUACCUAACCUCAGGUACUCUUUCAUACUCCACCACUUCAACCCUCUCACGGAUCUCUGGGUUGUGGUGGUGGUGACAACGACGAGAUCCUUCGAUCUCAUCUUCCUCGUAAAUAACCCUCUUGUUGAAGGCCAUUUCAGCAUUUGGGUAGCGAGCGACGUCAGUGAGAACACUAGGCUCUCUUCGGACUCCUGAAAUGUGGGUGUGGUAGUCCUCGGAUCUCAACAUUUUCUUAAUUUUUUUCUUUGUUUU